CCCCUCUCAGGGUCGCACCUGGAGAGUUUCCAGUCCUCUACCAGUCUCGGCUAAGGGAGGGAGAGUCAAGCAGAGGCCUGCCCCUUCCAUUCCUAGCAUGGGCAGUGGCUAGUGAAUGGCAGAUAAUCUGCUACAAGU